UCGGACGAGCAGAUGGAGG
rnacentral:misc_RNA from 1 species